rnacentral:hammerhead_ribozyme from 1 species
AUUCAGCUGACGAGUUCCAAAUAGGACGAAACACGUGUCCUGGAU